GAUCAUUAUCCAUCACACCAGGUGUGGUUGCGGCCCCCGGGGGCGUGGGCGCCCAUGGGCGUCCUCUCUCCCGGGCGGUAGAGGUAAAACUUUCGCGCGCCACAUGUCUGAAUCCUUUUUUUACGAGCACCUUUCGUUCUCCUUCGGUGGGGCAACCUGCCGUUGGAACCUGUCAAAACUCUUGCAUAUAGCAUUACCUGUUCUGAUACAAACAAUCGUUACAACUUUCAACAAUGGAUCUCUUGGCUCUGGCAUCGAUGAAGAACGCAGCGAAAUGCGAUAAGUAGUGUGAAUUGCAGAAUUCAGUGAAUCAUCGAAUCUUUGAACGCACAUUGCGCCCCUUGGUAUUCCAUGGGGCAUGCCUGUUCGAGCGUCAUCUACACCCUCAAGCUCUGCUUGGUGUUGGGCGUCUGUCCCGCCUCUGCGCGUGGACUCGCCCCAAAUUCAUUGGCAGCGGCCUUGCCUCCACUCGCGCAGCACAUUUUGCGCUUUUGGGGGUGUGCGGCCCGCGUCCACGAAGCAACAUUACCGUCUUUGACCUCGGAUCAGGUAGGGAUACCCGCUGAACUUAAGCAUAUCAAUAAGCGGAGGAAAAGAAACCAACAGGGAUUGCCCUAGUAACGGCGAGUGAAGCGGCAACAGCUCAAAUUUGAAAUCUGGCUCUCUUUGGGGGUCCGAGUUGUAAUUUGUAGAGGAUGCUUUGGCAUUGGCGGCGGUCUAAGUUCCUUGGAACAGGACAUCGCAGAGGGUGAGAAUCCCGUACGUGGGCGCCUGCCUUUGCCGUGUAAAGCUCCUUCGACGAGUCGAGUUGUUUGGGAAUGCAGCUCUAAAUGGGAGGUAAAUUUCUUCUAAAGCUAAAUACCGGCCAGAGACCGAUAGCGCACAAGUAGAGUGAUCGAAAGAUGAAAAGUACUUUGGAAAGAGAGUCAAAAAGCACGUGAAAUUGUUGAAAGGGAAGCGCUUGCAGCCAGACUUGCCCGCAGUUGCUCACCUAGGCUUUGGCCUGGGGCACUCUUCUGCGGGCAGGCCAGCAUCAGUUUGGGCGGUUGGAUAAAGGCCUCUGUCACGUAUCUCCCUUCGGGGUGACCUUAUAGGGGAGGCGUAAUGCAACCAGCCCGGACUGAGGUCCGCG
rnacentral:rRNA from 1 species